GGGGCGCUAGCUCAAUGGUAGAGCAGUUGCCUUUUAAGCAAUUGGUUCGGGGUUCGAAUCCCCGGCGCCCUACCA
rnacentral:tRNA from 1 species